UGCCNAGAAUUAACCAAUGCAUGUGUAAGUAUAAAUAAUUCUCCUUUGAAACGGCGAAGGGCUCAUUAAAUCAGUUAUAGUUUAUUAGAAAUAAUGUACUACUGGAAUAACCGUAGUAAUUCUAGGGCUAAAACAGGACUAAACCCUCGACUUUGAAAAGGGGUGUUAAUUAGUAGGAAACCCAUAUGCUUUUGCAGGAUAGGGAGUAAUAAAAACCUUUCAUAUCCAAGGUUGAGAUAACGAUAGUUCUUUCAAGUUUCUGCCCUAUCAGCUUUCGAUGGUAGUGCAUUGGACUACCAUGGCAGUAACGGGUAACGAAAAAUUUGGGUUCAAUUUCGGAAAGGGAGCCUGAAAGAUGGCUACCACAUCCAAGGAAGGCAGCAGGCGCGUAAAUUACCCAAUCCUGACAUAGGGAGGUAGUGACAAUAAAUCACAAUGCGGAACUUUUAUUUUUGCAUUUGGAUUGAAAACAAUGUAAAAGAUUUAUCAAAAAAAAAUUGGAGGGCAAGUCGGGUGCCACCCCCCGCGGAAAUUCCAGCCCCAAUAGCGUAUAUAAACGUUGUUGCAUUAAAAAACUCACAAA
rnacentral:rRNA from 1 species